GUGCCCGCUUCGGCAGCACAUACACUAAAAUUGGAAUGAUGCGGAGAAGAUUAGCAUGGCCCCUGCGGAAGGAUGACAUGCAAAUUUGUGAAGUGUUCCCUAUUUUU